UGGCCUUGGAGUAAGCAAGCAGGCAGGCAAGGGAGCCCAGCCAGCCAGUCCGUCAGCCCUUACUGUUGAGGAAUGGACAGACAAGUGAGAGGCUAGGCAGGCAGGCGCUGUGCUGGCCUUUCUUGUGUUUGCUGUAGGCAAGGCCUUCCUGGGAGCUGCAUGUCUUUCUGCCAUGCAGGGCCGGGAGCCCCCAUUGCUGCCUCCCGAGGUAAGGUGCUAGCCUCAUGUUCAGCUCUGGCCAGACUCCAUUGGGCCACUAAGGCUGGGAACAUCCUCUUCCCGUGCCUUUGUGGGUCAGUGGGAGGAGGCUCCUCUCUUUGGGGCAGGUGGGGGGCAGCUCAGAGACCAGGGGUGGCAGCAGCAGCUGCCCAGAGGACUCUCAAGGAGAGGGGAGAGGAGAGGAGGCUGAGGGAACACUCCACAAGGGAGGAUGUUUGAAAAAGGGUGAGAGGCUGCCAGCUUUGCAGGAAAGGGGUGACACAACUGGGCUCCUGAGCCCCACAGGGGUGCCUCAGAAUGAAUGUAGUUAGUCAAGGGAGCUGUGGACUCAAAAAGCUUGAAAACCUCUGGUCUAGCAAUUUUUGAAUGAAAUGUCUCAACAACAGUUGUUAAAUUGCUUUCUUUUGACCCCGAGUGCUCAGAAAAAAUCUGUCAAAAUCUUCCUACAAUUUCUAAUUUUACUUAAGUUUUUUUUUUUCUUUACUUAAUUUAUUUACCAUGCUUUUUUUGCACACACAGCCCAAUCCCAUCUGCGGCUGUUUGGAAUUGGCACCCUGUGCACACAGUGUGAGAUUUUCCCGUUAAAAUUAAAGCGUCAGAACUAAACUGCAGCUCCUGCCUGCAGGUAACCAAUAGGAAAAUGUGUGUUCACAGCUGGGAGCAAUACUGCUGUCACAUGCAGCAGAACCACCUCUAGUUCUGUGAGCACUGCACAAGGGAUUUGAGGCUCUCUCCGUUUGGUUGUAUAGUAUACAUUUGCCACAUGGUGGUGCCAGUCUAGCAACUGUAGGGCCUUAUCAGCAUUGUACAUUCAAAGCACUCUUAAACCGUCACAGUUUAACUCCCCAAAUUCCUGGGAACUAUAAUUUAAAGGGGAGCCAUAGGAGCCAAUUCCGAGGGGCUCCCCAAAUGGUGUGUGUGCACUGUACUACGUGAUCAAUUAUGAGGGGUGGGACAUACCUGCCCCCCAUUUUAUUUUAGUUGGCACCCUGAAGGGGUUGCCGAAACUUGUUAAGAGACGCCUGUUUCCCUCACAAAGCUACUGUUUCCAGAUUGGUUUAACAGUCAGACCUUCCUCACAGGGAAUUGUAGCUCUGUGAGGGAAAUAAGUGUCUCCUAACAAUUCCCCACCCACCCCAAUGGCCUUUUAUUGUGAGCAGAAGUGAGAGUCAAACAUGAGUCUUUGUGGCUCAUCAUAGUUCUCACACUGAACCUUGGUCUUCUGAACAUCUACAACUACCCUAGCUUUCCCUGAGCCUCUUUCUUCUGAGCUUCUUCCAUUUGUUCCCCAUCCCAGUAAUAAUUGCCUUUUCCCAUGCAGCCACCGUGUCCUUUUGUGAUAUCACAGGUAGUCAAAAGCAACAGCUGGGGAUGCAUCGGUGCAACCUCCCCAGUUUGGAGUGAAUCGGAC